AUCACUUCUCAGCCUUUUGGCUAAGAUCAAGUAUAAUAUCUGUUCUUAUCAGUUUUUUUUUUUUUUUACCAUGACAGUGAUUAUCUUUU
rnacentral:snRNA from 1 species